UCGGGAAUUUUGGGCAAUGGGCGAAAGCCUGACCCAGCAACGCCGCGUGAAGGAUGAAGUAUUUCGGUAUGUAAACUUCGAAAGAAUAGGAAGAAUAAAUGACGGUACUAUUUAUAAGGUCCGGCUAACUACGUGCCAGCAGCCGCGGUAAUACGUAGGGACCAAGCGUUGUUCGGAUUUACUGGGCGUAAAGCGUGCGCAGGCGGUUAUAUAAGUCAGAUGUGAAAUCCCCGGGCUCAACCUGGGAACUGCAUUUGAGACUGUAUGGCUAGAGUGUGUCAGAGGGGGGUAGAAUUCCACGUGUAGCAGUGAAAUGCGUAGAUAUGUGGAGGAAUACCGAUGGCGAAGGCAGCCCCCUGGGAUAACACUGACGCUCAUGCACGAAAGCAUGGGGAGCAAACAGGAUUAGAUACCCGCGUAGUCCCUGAGCGGGCUGGCAAGGCGCAU
rnacentral:rRNA from 1 species